UAUGCAGAAAGGCAGGAAACUUUAUUGAAUCGUCUUUUCUUUUUAGCAGAGAAGCUGAGAAAUCAGAGUAACCAGAUAAGGGAGAAGGGGAGGUGCCCAGGGAGAGAAGCGCAGAGCGCCUGCCCUCGGGAGAGCCCCGGGGGGCCGGUGUCCUGAGCGUCCUGCGGUCCCUCCCUCUCUCCUGCAGGGACCCGUCAUCUCUCUCCUCUGGGUGCUGAAGACAGAGAGAGAGGAGGCCAGGUGGAUUUAAGGCUUACGGGUGUCGGAAAUGCGGCGACUGGGAGGGGAGGCAGUGGUGCCAGUGACGCUGGUGCUUCCUGAGAAACAGAGGGGGCAAGAGACACUCAGGCUGGAGAAGACCCACCUCAGCAGGUCAGGGCCCCCCAGGAGGGCCCCAAGCCCCCUCACUGGUCAGGCUGGGCGUUAGCUGAUAGGGAUUCUCAUGUUAUUGUCCCCCAAGGUGGGGAAGCCUCCAAAGCCUCCCAGUGGCUCCAUGGGGCAGAGCCAGCUAUUCUGAAAAGAAACAGACAAGCAAAUGACCACGUCCACCAUAACCCCCUCCCUCCGUCCACUGGGGAGUCUGGCACUGCCUCCACCCCACCCCCCCCCCAGGGCAGCGAGCAGGAGCCGACUCGCCUCUCCCACCGGGUUGUUUCCUUACCUCCUGAGGAGGGUAAGCCAGCCAUCCUGGGAGAGAGAAGAGGAGCGGCGUGAGCACAAAUCACCCAAGGACAGCUGCUCGCUCAUCUGCCCUUGGAUCGAGCGACUCAGAUCACUGAGAGGCCCCCAAGCUGGGCUUCCUUACCAACUGUGCCCCAGCCCAAGGGCCACCACAGGUAACUGGCAGGCCUAUGGGACCUCAGGAGGACAUAGUACCGGCCCCAAAUCCGGGACAUCUGCCAGAUCUUUUGUCCUCCCUCUGGUUCCUUCGAAACCUACACCCUACUCCCGCUGAGCCCACAAGGACAGCCUGGUCCCUGCAAAUGGUCUGAAGGCAGUGAAAUCGCCAUUUUUAUCGCUUUGUUUAGCCGACCUGAACCCAAGGCAAUAUUCUUCCGAUAUGAGCCGUUCUGUCCAUGGCCCCUAUUCCUGCCAGUCUAAUCCAAAGGCCCAAAUUGGAAAGCUUAAAGGUAUUGACCCUGCAGGCCACUGAGGAAAUCCCCCCACAGUCUGAUUCAAGAAAACAGGAAGCCCUGGUCCUGGAUCCCCAUCCAGUCAGUUUAAGCUCAGAAGGUCCCCUUCCAUAUGGAACAUGAGGACCUGAUCCUUAAAGCCUUGCCUGUUCGAAUGUCCAAGGGUCCUGUGGUCACUUUCCCAAGAGAGAGGCUUGAGAGGGCCUACCUGGCGUCCUGGCCCUCCAGAAGGCUGCGGUAGGUG
rnacentral:lncRNA from 1 species